GAUGAAGAACGUAGUGAAAUGCGAUACGUAAUGUGAAUUGCAGAAUUCAGUGAAUCAUCGAGUCUUUGAACGCACAUUGCGCCCUCUGGUAUUCCGGGGGGCAUGCCUGUCCGAGCGUCAUUGCUGCCCUCAAGCACGGCUUGUGUGUUGGGCCCCCGUCCCGGUUCUUUAAGCCGGGACGGGCCCGAAAGGCAGCGGCGGCACCGUGUCCGGUCCUCGAGUGUAUGGGGCUCUGUCACCCACUCGUGUAGGUCCGGCCGGCGGCCAGCCUCUUCAACCAAACUUUUAACCAGGUUGACCUCGGAUCAGGUAGGGAUACCCGCUGAACUUAAGCAUAUCAAUAAGCGGAGGA
rnacentral:misc_RNA from 1 species